UGCCAUUACUUUUGGGACCUAUCAGCUGUGGCAUUCUUCUAUUGUAGCCGUGGAAGAGCUUUUUACUUAAUGGAAAAGCUGCUAACAUUUAUAUGGUAUCAGAGUUUGACUUGCACAAGUAACAUUC
ensembl:snoRNA